CGCUACAUCAUUCAAGGAAAUUCGUCGUAGAGGUCUUUCUCUUUACCAGAUUUCGUAGCUGAAGUUUAUGAAGUAAUCAAACCGGUGUUAACUUCUUAUAUAAAGGUAGAUUCCCAAACUUUGAAGAAACACUACAGUACUGAGGUAAUUGAAUGUUGUAAGGCAGAGCAUCGGGCUUUCCAGAG